AUAUUCUAAAACACAUAUAUACUGAAAAUGAAAUAAUACAGAUAAGAUUAGCAUGGUCCUUGCACAAGGAUGAUACACAAAAUCGUGAGGUAUUCCAUAUAAAA